rnacentral:rRNA from 1 species
CCUACGGGAGGCAGCAGUGGGGAAUAUUGGACAAUGGGGGGAACCCUGAUCCAGCGACGCCGCGUGAGUGAAGAAGUAUUUCGGUAUGUAAAGCUCUAUCAGCAGGGAAGAAAGAAAUGACGGUACCUGACUAAGAAGCCCCGGCUAACUACGUGCCAGCAGCCGCGGUAAUACGUAGGGGGCAAGCGUUAUCCGGAUUUACUGGGUGUAAAGGGAGCGUAGACGGCGAUGCAAGUCUGAAGUGAAAGGCGGUGGCCCAACCCCCGGACUGCUUUGGAAACUGUAUGGCUGGAGUGCAGGAGAGGUAAGUGGAAUUCCUAGUGUAGCGGUGAAAUGCGUAGAUAUUAGGAGGAACACCAGUGGCGAAGGCGGCUUACUGGACUGUAACUGACGUUGAGGCUCGAAAGCGUGGGGAGCAAACAGGAUUAGAUACCCCAGUAGUC